rnacentral:rRNA from 1 species
GAAACUGCGAAUGGCUCAUUAAAACAGUUAUAGUUUAUUUGAUGUUCGUUUUACAUGGAUAACCGUGGUAAUUCUAGGGCUAAUACAUGCUCGAGGCGCUUUUGCGCGGCGUUUAUUAGACUCAAACCAACCCCUUUGGGUAACCGGUGAUUCAUAAUAAAUCAGCGAAUCGCAUGGCUUUGCCGGCGA